AAUGAACGUUGGCGGCGUGGAUUAGGCAUGCAAGUCGAGCGAUAACCGUAGCAAUACGGGGACAGCGGCGAAAGGGAGAGUAACGCGUGGAUAAUCUACCCUCGGGACUGGGAUAGCCGCGGGAAACUGCGGGUAAUACCGGAUAAUGUCCUCGGACCAAAGGUGCGAUUCCGCCCGGGGAUGAGUCCGCGUCCUAUUAGCUAGUUGGUGGGGUAAUGGCCUACCAAGGCGAAGAUGGGUACGGGGUGUGAGGGCAUGCCCCCGCUCACUGGGACUGAGACACUGCCCAGACACCUACGGGUGGCUGCAGUCGAGAAUCUUCGGCAAUGGGCGCAAGCCUGACCGAGCGACGCCGCGUGCGGGAUGAAGGCCUUCGGGUUGUAAACCGCUGUCGGAGGGGAGGAAAUGCACGGGGGUUCUCCCUCGUGUUUGACCUAGCCUCAGAGGAAGGACGGGCUAAGUUCGUGCCAGCAGCCGCAGUAA
rnacentral:rRNA from 1 species